rfam:Gossypium arboreum cultivar AKA8401 contig_8626_1, whole genome shotgun sequence.
CUGGUUGAUCUUGCAAGUAGUCAUAUGCUUGUCUUAAAGAUUAAGUCAUGCAUGUGUAUGUAUGAAUAAAUUCAGACUGUGAAACUGCGAAUGGCUCAUUAAAUCAGUUAUAGUUUUUUUAUGGUAUUUGCUACUCGGGUAAUCGUAGUAAUUCUAGAGCUAAUACGUGCAACAAACGUAGACUUUGGAAGGGAUGCAUUUAUUAGAUAAAAGGUUGACGCGAGCUUUGCCUGUUGCUUUGAUGAUUCAUGAUAACUCGACGGAUCGCAUGGCCUUUAUGCCAGCGACUUAUCAUUCAAAUUUUUGCCAUAUCAACUUUCGAUGGUAGGAUAGUGGCAUACUAUAGUGGUGACGGGUGACGGAUAAUCCAUGUCAAAAACCAUAGUACAAGUUUUGGUCAUAGCUAAGGGUGAGCGUUCGUUAGAAUCAAACCGAAUCAAAUUAAAAAUUUUUUAGUUAAGUAGACGAAUCAUAUUUU